UUUAUGUGUACUCUUUUUUGACCUGUACACACAAUGUAGAUUAGCUUGCAAGCAAAAAUUUCAGUGCUCACAAAUAGUAAAACUGCAGGUACUCUGUGUUUACUGUCUUUACAGUCCCAAAGCUCUCUCAAGAGGGUCACAAAUCCACAUGAGGUUCCCCAGCACAGCAAACUGCAUUUGGGUCAUUGGUUAGCUGAGAAGUCACAUAGAGGCAAACAGCUUCAUCUUGUCUACAUGCUGGGGAAAUACCAUGUAAUGUGUUUAAUCCAGGCUCCAUAUGGGAUAAAUAGAUAGGAUGACACAGAUCUGCUCAGCUUUUAGAAGUUGGGAAGAUGUGCUGCAAUGGGAGACUUGUGCUGGAAUGACAGGAAAGGGUGACAACCUUUGCUAGGAAAGAAUUGUCCCUUUACGGGGAAUCCACUGAGUGAUCCAUCAUCACUGUGAUGCAGUAGCCUACAAACUCCCUUGGACUUCUGCCUGCUGGUCAGGCUGGCCUGUUGCAUGGUAACAAGAGAAAUGGUCCUGUCCUUUCUGCAGAUAACCCACCUGCAGCCAGCAGCACUCAGCAUGGCUCUCACAGUGGGCAUGGAAGUGCUUGCCUACAGCUCAACCACAUUUUAAAAAGCCAAGAUCCAACUGGCUGAAGAGACAGAAUAAGGACAUGGAGUUCAGCUCAGCUGUCUGGUAAGGAUGGAGAGCAGCAGCCUGUUCUGAUUACAGACUCAUGCAGAGGUGAAACUGCUCCCUUGGAGCCGGUACAAGAUAAGGGACUGUGAAAAUUCAAAUAACCCUCUCAGAAGAGUCAGGUCUCCUGAAGAGCACAAGUGCCAAAGAGGAAAGAGAUUUGGGAGCGACUGCAUCUCUGAGAGCAACAUAUCCAUGGCACAGCAGAGAGUAGCUAAGGUCAGCUAAACAGAUGGGAAGGGGAAAGUUAACUGCCAAAUGAUUUGAAAACUGGAAAGAGAAUCAAACUGAAAAAGAUGGAGACAUUCCAGGAAGCUGUUCUACUAAGGACAUAAAUAUGAUGUUAUCGACAAGCUCAAAGUGAACAAAAGCAGCUUUAGUAGCAAGAAGGUGGCAGUUAACUGCUGCAGGUACUAUCACUAUAAAAGCAACACCUUCCCACCCA